rnacentral:rRNA from 1 species
CCUACGGGUGGCUUCAGUGGGGAAUAUUGGACAAUGGGGGGAACCCUGAUCCAGCCAUGCCGCGUGUGUGAAGAAGGCCCUCGGGUUGUAAAGCACUUUCAGUGAGGAAGAACGCCUGGUGGUUAAUACCCAUCAGGAAAGACAUCACUCACAGAAGAAGCACCGGCUAACUCCGUGCCAGCAGCCGCGGUAAUACGGAGGGUGCGAGCGUUAAUCGGAAUUACUGGGCGUAAAGCGCGCGUAGGUGGCUUGAUAAGCCGGUUGGGAAAGCCCCGGGCUCAACCUGGGAACGGCAUCCGGAACUGUCAAGCUAGAGUGCAGGAGAGGAAGGUAGAAUUCCCGGUGCAGCGGUGAAAUGCGUAGAGAUCGGGAGGAAUACCAGUGGCGAAGGCGGCCUUCUGGACUGACACUGACACUGAGGUGCGAAAGCGUGGGUAGCAAACAGGAUUAGAUACCCUGGUAGUC